rnacentral:rRNA from 1 species
CUGAUGAUGUGAAGCGGGAAAAGCUCAAAUUUAAAAUCUGGCGGUCUCUGGCCGUCGUACCGAGUUGUAGUCUGGAGAAGCCCAAAUGAUGUCGGACCGUGUACAAGUCCGAUGAUACGGAGCGUCAUAGAGGGUGAGAAUCCCGUCUUUGACACGGACAGCCGAUGCUUUGUGAUGCGCUCUCGAAGAGUCGAGUUGUUUGGGAAUGCAGCUCAAAAUGGGUGGUGAAUUCCAUCUAAAGCUAAAUAUUGGCGAGAGACCGAUAGCGAACAAGUACCGUGAGGGAAAGAUGAAAAGCACUUUGGAAAGAGAGUUAAACAGUACGUGAAAUUGUUGAAAGGGAAACGCUCGAAGUCAGUCGCGUCCGCCGGGACUCAGCCUCGCAAUCUUGCUUGGUGUAUUUUCUGGUGGACGGGCCAGCAUCAAUCCAUGCCGGACAAGGGCUGGAGAACAAUGAAACCUUCGGGUGUGUUAUAGCCAUCUCCGGUCACAUGCGGCGGUCUAGUAGCGGGAUUGAGGACAUGAUAGUCGGUCGGGGCUUCGCCCACGUUCGUGCUUAGGAUGCUGGCGUAAUGGCUUUGAACGACCCGUCUUGAAACACGGACCAAGGAGUCUAACAUGCCCGCGAGUGUUCGGGUGGAAAACCCGUGCGCGUAAUGAAAGUGAAAGUUGGGACCUCUGUCGUGGAGGGCACCGACGCCCGGACCAGAACUCAAUGUAUCUGCGGUAGAGCGUGUAUGUUGGGACCCCAUCGAAAGAUGGUGAACUAUGCCUGAAUAGGGUGACCAUGAAGGAAACUCUGGUGGAGGCUCGUAGCGAUUCUGACGUGCAAAUCGAUCGUCAAAUUUGGGUAUAGGGGCGAAAGACUAAUCCAUGUAUCUAGUAGCUGGUUCCUGCCGAAGUUUCCCUCAGGAUAGCAGAAACUCGUAUCAGAUUCCAGUGUUAAAGCGAAUGAUUAGAGGCCUUGGGGUUGAAACAACCUUAACCUAUUCUCAAACUUUAAAUAUGUAAGAACAAGCCGUCGCUCGAUUGGACCGCUUGGCGAUUGAGAGUUUCUAGUGGGCCAUUUUUGGUAAGCAGAACUGGCGAUGCGGGAUGAACCGAACGCGAGGUUAAGGUGCCGGACCAUCGCUCAUCAGACACCACAAAAGGUGUUAGUUCAUCUAGACAGCAGGACGCGUGGCCAUGGAAGUCGGAAUCCGCUAAGGCCAUGAUAACAACUCACCUGCCGAAUGAACUAGCCCUGAAAAUGGAUGGCGCUCAAGCAAUUCGUACAUACCUCGCCGUCAGCGUUGAAGUGACGCGCUGACGAGUAGGCAGGCGUGGAGGUCAGUCCACUAGCCU